rnacentral:rRNA from 1 species
AGAUUGAACGCUGGCGGCAUGCCUUACACAUGCAAGUCGAACGGCAGCACGGGAGCAAUCCUGGUGGCGAGUGGCGAACGGGUGAGUAAUAUAUCGGAACGUGCCCAGUAAUGGGGGAUAGCCCGGCGAAAGCCGGAUUAAUACCGCAUACGACCUACGGGUGAAAGCGGGGGAUCGCAAGACCUCGCGUUAUUGGAGCGGCCGAUAUCAGAUUAGCUUGUUGGCAGGUAAAAGCCCACCAAGGCGACGAUCUGUAGCUGGUCUGAGAGGACGACCAGCCACACUGGGACUGAGACACGGCCCAGACUCCUACGGGAGGCAGCAGUGGGAAUUUUGGACAAUGGGCGCAAGCCUGAUCCGAGCCAUGCCGCGUGUGGGAAGAAGGCCGUUCGGUUCGUAAACCUACUUUUUGUACGUAGGGAAGAAACGGUCUACUUACUAAUAUUAGAGCUAAUGACGUACCUGAAGAAUAAGCACCG